rnacentral:tRNA from 1 species
CGAGGCGUAGCGCAGCUGGUAGCGCGCAGCGUUCGGGACGCUGAAGUCGUGAGUUCGAAUCUCGUCGCCUCGACCA